rfam:Triticum aestivum genome assembly, contig: Triticum_aestivum_CS42_TGACv1_scaffold_457365_5DS
AUUGUACUCCUCCGUCCAAAAAUACUUGUCCUAGAAAUGGAUAAAAUGGAUUAUCUAUAACUAAAAUAAGUCUAGAUACAACCAUUUCGAGGAAAAGUAUUUCCGGACGGAGGGAGUAGCAA